GCCCAGUGAAAAUUUUAACGGCCGCGGUAUCCUAACCGUGCAAAGGUAGCGUAAUCACUUGUCUUCCAAAUAAAGACCAGUAUGAAUGGCUAAAUGAGGACAAACCUGUCUCCUACAACCAAUCAGUGAAACUGAUCUCCCAGUACAAAAGCUGGAAUAACAACACUAGACGAGAAGACCCUGUGGAGCUUAAAACACACCUAGUACAAACAAAUACUAGCAUAAUUUUAAGUUGGGGCGACUUCGGAAAAAAACAAAACUUCCGAGCACAAAACCACCAGUUUAAACCGAGGCAAACAGGCCAAAGCCAAAACUUGACCCAGUCCACACUGACCAACGAACCAAGUUACCCCAGGGAUAACAGCGCCAUCCUCUUCAAGAGCCCAUAUCGACAAGAGGGUUUACGACCUCGAUGUUGGAUCAGGGCACCCCAAUGGUGCAGCCGCUAUUAAAGGUUCGUUUGUUCAACGAUUAACAGCCCUACGUGAUCUGAGUUCA
rnacentral:rRNA from 1 species